AACGAACGCUGGCGGUAUGCCUAACACAUGCAAGUCGAACGAGACCUUCGGGUCUAGUGGCGCACGGGUGCGUAACGCGUGGGAACCUGCCCUUAGGUUCGGAAUAACUCCCCGAAAGGGGUGCUAAUACCGGAUAAUGUCUUCGGACCAAAGAUUUAUCGCCUUUGGAUGGGCCCGCGUUGGAUUAGCUAGUUGGUAGGGUAAAAGCCUACCAAGGCGACGAUCCAUAGCUGGUCUGAGAGGAUGAUCAGCCACACUGGGACUGAGACACGGCCCAGACUCCUACGGGAGGCAGCAGUGGGGAAUAUUGGACAAUGGGCGAAAGCCUGAGCCAGCAAUGCCGCGUGAGUGAUGAAGGCCUUAGGGUUGUAAAGCUCUUUUACCCGGGAUGAUAAUGACAGUACCGGGAGAAUAAGCUCCGGCUAACUCCGUG
rnacentral:rRNA from 1 species